rnacentral:rRNA from 1 species
CCUACGGGUGACAGCAGUGGGGAAUAUUGGGCAAUGGGCGCAAGCCUGACCCAGCAACGCCGCGUGAAGGAAGAAGGCUUUCGGGUUUUAAACUUCUUUUAAGAAGGAAGAGCAGAAGACGGUACCUCUUGAAUAAGCCACGGCUAACUACGUGCCAGCAGCCGCGUUAAUACGUAGGUGGCAAGCGUUGUCCGGAUUUACUGGGUGUAAAGCGUGCGUAGGCUGUUUCGUAAGUCGUGUGUGAAUGGCGCGGGCUCAACCCGCGGACGGCACAUGAUACUGCGAGACGAGAGUAAUGGAGGGGGAACCGGAAUUCCUGGUGUAGCGGUGAAAUGCGUAGAUAUCAGGAGGAACACCGGUGGCGAAGGCGGCCUGCUGGACUGCAACUGACGUUGAGGCCCGAAAGCGUGGGGAGCAAACAGGAUUAGAGACCCUUGUAGUC